CACAGAAAGAAUGAAACAAAGAAACAAACAAACAAAGAAAGAAAGAAGAAAACUUCAC
rnacentral:ribozyme from 1 species